rnacentral:rRNA from 1 species
CGGGACGGGUGAGUAAUGUCUGGGAAACUGCCCGAUGGAGGGGGAUAACUACUGGAAACGGUAGCUAAUACCGCAUAACGUCGCAAGACCAAAGAGGGGGACCUUCAGGCCUCUUGCCAUCGGAUGUGCCCAGAUGGGAUUAGCUAGUAGGUGGGGUAACGGCUCACCUAGGCGACGAUCCCUAGCUGGUCUGAGAGGAUGACCAGCCACACUGGAACUGAGACACGGUCCAG